rnacentral:rRNA from 1 species
AGAGUUUGAUCGUGGCUCAGAAUCAACGCUGGCGGCGUGCCUCAGACAUGCAAGUCGAACGAUUAAAGCUCCCUUCGGGGAGUGCAUAAAGUGGCGCACGGGUGAGUAACACGUAAGUAAUCUACCUUCGAGUGGGGAAUAACAGUCGGAAACGGCUGCUAAUACCGCAUAAUGCAGCGGCAUCGCAAGAUGACAGUUGUUAAAGAUUUAUCGCUUGAAGGGGAGCUUGCGGCAGAUUAGCUAGUUGGUAAGGUAAUGGCUUACCAAGGCUACGAUCUGUAACCGGUCUAAGAGGACGGUCGGUCACACUGACACUGAAUAACGGGUCAGACUCCUACGGGAGGCAGCAGUCGGGAAUUUUGGGCAAUGGGGGAAACCCUGACCCAGCAACGCCGCGUGAAGGAUGAAGUAUUUCGGUAUGUAAACUUCGAAAGAAUAGGAAGAAUUAAUGACGGUACUAUUUAUAAGGUCCGGCUAACUACGUGCCAGCAGCCGCCGCGGUAAU